rnacentral:rRNA from 1 species
AUCACUCUAAGCGGUGGAUCACUCGGCUCAUGGGUCGAUGAAGAACGCAGCAAACUGUGCGUCAUCGUGUGAACUGCAGGACACAUGAACAUCGACAUUUUGAACGCAUAUCGCAGUCCAUGCUGUUUGUACUUUAAUUAAUUUUAUAGUGCUGCUUGGACUACAUAUGGUUGAGGUUGUAAGACUAUGCUAAAUAAGUUGUUUAAAAAUUUUACGAAAUUUUUAAGCAUAUUGUAUAUUAUUAUAUAUAUAUAUAUAUAUAUUCAUAAUAUUGAUAUUAAAUGGAAACGCAUUAUCUCUCAUUGUUGUAUAUAUUUGUGUGAGAAGAACGAAGAAAAAUAUAUAUUUUUUUGUCCUUUUUGAAUCAAAUAAUACUGAGGAAUGUCUAGCAUAAAAAAAUAAUUAAAGUUUUUUCAUCUAGAAUUGCCUCUUAUUAAUGUUUCGAAAGGAAAUUUUGUUGUAAAUAUAAAUAUUUAAUAUUCUUCGUGAUAUUCGUUAUAAAAUACGAAUAUUAUAAUGAUUUCAUUAUGAGAACGCUCUAUAUAUAUAAUAAUAUAGUGUAAUUAUCAUUAUAAAUUUUAAUAUACGUAUAUACAACCUCAACUCAUAUGGGACUACCCCUGAAUUUAAGCAUAUUAAUUAGGGGAGGAAAAGAAACUAACCAGGAUUUUCUUAGUAGCGGCGAGCGAAAAGAAAUCAGUUCAGCACUAAGUCACUUUGUCUAUAUGGCAAACGUGAGAUGCAGUGUAUGGAGCGUCAAUAUUCUAGUAUGAGAAAUUAACGAUUUAAGUCCUUCUUAAAUGAGGCCAUUUACCCAUAGAGGGUGCCAGGCCCGUAUAACGUUAAUGAUUACUAGAUGAUGUUUCCAAAGAGUCGUGUUGCUUGAUAGUGCAGCACUAAGUGGGUGGUAAACUCCAUCUAAAACUAAAUAUAACCAUGAGACCGAUAGUAAACAAGUACCGUGAGGGAAAGUUGAAAAGAACUCUGAAUAGAGAGUUAAACAGUACGUGAAACUGCUUAGAGGUUAAGCCCGAUGAACCUGAAUAUCCGUUAUGGAAAAUUCAUCAUUAAAGUUGUAAUAUUUUAACAAUAUUAUAAUAAUAGUGUGCAUUUUUUCCAUAUAAGGACAUUGUAAUCUAUUAGCAUAUAACAAAUUUAUCAUAAAAUAUGACUUAUAGUUUAUUCAAAUUAUUAUGCUUGCAUUUUAACAUAGAAUAAAUGUCAUUAAUUUGAUAAAGUGUUGAUAAAUUAAAAUUAAUACAGUGCGUUAAUUUUUCGAAAUUAUAUAAUGGCAUAAUUAUCAUUGAUUUUUGUGUUUAUUAUAUGCAUUUGUAUGAUUAACAAUGCGAAAGAUUCAGGAUACCUUCGGGACCCGUCUUGAAACACGGACCAAGGAGUCUAACAUAUGUGCAAGUUAUUGGGAGAUAAACCUAAUAGCGUAAUUAACUUGACUAAUAAUGGGAUUAGUUUUUUAACUAUUUAUAGAUAAUUAACACAAUCCCGGGGCGUUCUAUAUAGUUAUGUAUGAUAAUAUUUAUAUUAUUUAUGCCUCUAACUGGAACGUACCUUGAGCAUAUAUGCUGUGACCCGAAAGAUGGUGAACUAUACUUGAUCAGGUUGAAGUCAGGGGAAACCCUGAUGGAAGACCGAAACAGUUCUGACGUGCAAAUCGAUUGUCAGAAUUGAGUAUAGGGGCGAAAGACCAAUCGAACCAUCUAGUAGCUGGUUCCUUCCGAAGUUUCCCUCAGGAUAGCUGGUGCAUUUUAAUGUUAUAUAAAAUAAUCUUAUCUGGUAAAGCGAAUGAUUAGAGGCCUUAGGGUCGAAACGAUCUUAACCUAUUCUCUUUAAACUUAACUUAACUUAACUUAAAUGGGUAAGAACCUUAACUUUCUUGAUAUGAAGUUUAAGGUUAUGAUAUAAUGUGCCCAGUGGGCCACUUUUGGUAAGCAGAACUGGCGCUGUGGGAUGAACCAAACGUAAUGUUACGGUGCCCAAAUUAACAACUCAUGCAGAAACCAUGAAAGGCGUUGGUUGCUUAAAACAGCAGGACGGUGAUCAUGGAAGUCGAAAUCCGCUAAGGAGUGUGUAACAACUCACCUGCCGAAGCAACUAGCCCUUAAAAUGGAUGGCGCUUAAGUUGUAUACCUAUACAUUACCGCUAAAGUAGAUGAUUUAUAUUACUUGUGAUAUAAAUUUUGAAACUUUAGUGAGUAGGAAGGUACAAUGGUAUGCGUAGAAGUGUUUGGCGUAAGCCUUCAUGGAGCUGCCAUUGGCACAGAUCUUGGUGGUAGUAGCAAAUAAUCGAAUGAGACCUUGGAGGACUGAAGUGGAGAAGGGUUUCGUGUGAACAGUGGUUGAUCACGAGUUAGUCGGUCCUAAGUUCAAGGCGAAAGCCGAAAAUUUUCAAGUAAAAAAUCAGUGAGUAAUAUUGUCAAAUCUUUUAUGAUUUUUAAAUACUUGAAUAAUUUUGAACGAAAGGGAAUACGGUUCCAAUUCCGUAACCUGUUGAGUAUCCGUUUGUUAUUAAAUAUGGGCCUCGUGCUCAUCCUGGCAACAGGAACGACCAUAAAGAAGCCGUCGAGAGAUAUCGGAAGAGUUUUCUUUUCUGUUUUAUAGCCGUACUACCAUGGAAGUCUUUCGCAGAGAGAUAUGGUAGAUGGGCUAGAAGAGCAUGACAUAUACUGUUGUGUCGAUAUUUUCUCCUCGGACCUUGAAAAUUUAUGGUGGGGACACGCAAACUUCUCAACAGGCCGUACCAAUAUCCGCAGCUGGUCUCCAAGGUGAAGAGUCUCUAGUCGAUAGAAUAAUGUAGGUAAGGGAAGUCGGCAAAUUAGAUCCGUAACUUCGGGAUAAGGAUUGGCUCUGAAGAUUGAGAUAGUCGGGCUUGAUUGGGAAACAAUAACAUGGUUUAUGUGCUCGUUCUGGGUAAAUAGAGUUUCUAUCAUUUAUGGUAGUUACUUGUUCCCCGGAUAGUUUAGUUACGUAGCCAAUUGUGGAACUUUCUUGCUAAAAUUUUUAAGAAUACUAAUUGGGUUAAACCAGUUAGUUCUUAUUAAUUAUAACGAUUAUCAAUUAACAAUCAAUUCAGAACUGGCACGGACUUGGGGAAUCCGACUGUCUAAUUAAAACAAAGCAUUGUGAUGGCCCUAGCGGGUGUUGACACAAUGUGAUUUCUGCCCAGUGCUCUGAAUGUCAAAGUGAAGAAACUCGUUUAGGCCUUCAAACAAUGCUAGACACGACUGUCGAUUUUCUAUCUUCAGUCGGGCUUACCCUUAACUCGGAUAAAUGUUUUACAGUUGGAAUAAAGGGCAACCGAAACAGAAGUGUACUGUGGUCAUCCCAGAGACCUUCCGUAUCGGUUCGCGCUCGUGUCCUGCAUUGAAGCGCACAGACGAGUGGAAGUAUUUAGGCAUAACAUUCACUGCACAAGGGAGGACCAGGUACAGUCCAGCCGACGACCUAGGUCCGAAGCUGUUGAGGCUGACAAGGUCCCCCUAAAACCACAACAGAAAUUGUUCGCACUCAGAACAGUUCUUAUCCCACAACUUUACCAUAAGCUGACCCUAGGUAGUGUGAUGAUAGGUGUUCUGAGAAAGUGUGACAUACUGGUACGUUCGACCGUAAGGAAGUGGUUAGGGCUUCCUCUGGACGUGUCAACUGCAUUCUUCCAUGCUCCUCAUAUUUAUGGGGCCUCGGAAUCCCUUCAGUUCGUUGGGUAGCGCCAAUGCUACGUAUGAAAAGAUUGAGCAAUAUUAAGUGGGCCCACCUCGCGCAAUCCGAGGCGGCCAGCUCAUUUCUUACCGACGAAUUGAAUAAGGCCCGGGGUAGAACUCUGGCUGGACUGAAUGAGUUGACAUCGCGUUCGGAGAUCGAAACGUACUGGGCGAACAGGUUGUAUA